rnacentral:rRNA from 1 species
UAAUACGUAGGUGGCAAGCGUUGUCCGGAUUUACUGGGCGUAAAGCGCGCGCAGGCGGAUGGUUAAGUAGGAAGUGAAAGGUUGGAGCUCAACUCCAACAUUGCUCCCUAUACUGGCCGUCUUGAGUCCCGGAGAGGAAAGCGGAACGACACGUGGAGCGGUGAAAUGCGUUGAUAUGUGUCGGAACACCAAUGGCGAAGGCAGCUUUCUGGACGGGUACUGACGCUCAGGCGCGAAAGCCGAGGUAGCGAACAGGAUUAGAUACCCUGGUAGUCUCGGCCCUAAACGAUGAUCACUAGGUGUCGGGGGGUUUCCCUCGGUGCCGCAGCUAACGCAUUAAGUGAUCCGCCUGGGGACUACGGCCGCAAGGUUG